GGGCCAGACUCCUACGGGAGGCAGCAGUGAGGAAUAUUGGUCAAUGGGCGGGAGCCUGAACCAGCCAAGUCGCGUGAGGGAAGACGGUCCUACGGAUUGUAAACCUCUUUUGCCGGGGAGCAACGGGGUCCUUGCGAGGGCCCAAUGAGAGUACCCGGAGAAAAAGCAUCGGCUAACUCCGUGCCAGCAGCCGCGGUAAUACGGAGGAUGCGAGCGUUAUCCGGAUUUAUUGGGUUUAAAGGGUGCGUAGGCGGAUUGAUAAGUUAGAGGUGAAAUGUCCGGGCUCAACUCGGGAACUGCCUCUAAUACUGUUGAUCUAGAGAGUAGAUGCGGUAGGCGGAAUGUAUGGUGUAGCGGUGAAAUGCUUAGAGAUCAUACAGAACACCGAUUGCGAAGGCAGCUUACCAAUCUAUAUCUGACGUUGAGGCACGAAAGCGUGGGGAGCAAACAGGAUUAGAUACCCCAGUACC
rnacentral:rRNA from 1 species